rnacentral:rRNA from 1 species
GACGAACGCUGGCGGCGUGCUUAACACAUGCAAGUCGAACGGAAAGGCCCUGCUUGCCGGGUACUCGAGUGGCGAACGGGUGAGUAACACGUGGGUGAUCUGCCAUGCACUUCGGGAUAAGCCUGGGAAACUGGGUCUAAUACCGGAUAGGAGCCAUUUUUAGUGUGAUGGUUGGAAAGUUUUUUCGGUGUAGGAUGAGCUCGCGGCCUAUCAGCUUGUUGGUGGGGUAAUGGCCUACCAAGGCGGCGACGGGUAGCCGGCCUGAGAGGGUGGACGGCCACAUUGGGACUGAGAUACGGCCCAGACUCCUACGGGAGGCAGCAGUGGGGAAUAUUGCACAAUGGGCGCAAGCCUGAUGCAGCGACGCCGCGUGGGGGAUGACGGCCUUCGGGUUGUAAACUCCUUUCGCUAGGGACGAAGCUUUUUGUGACGGUACCUAGAUAAGAAGCACCGGCUAACUACGUG